AGAGCACAGCAGCGUGCUCUGCCGAUUCUCAAUGCGUCGGGCACAUUUCAUUGAGCCUGCUGAAAUAUAUUUGGAUAAAACUUUACCAUAAUAUGCGACAGUUGGAGCGGCGAAACCAAGCGGAUACAUGACACGAAGAAAACGGGGGACAACAAAUUCUGACUAUGUUUAGGCUAGCAGAGAACGCUUAGCUGCCUCUGAUGGACGGCCGCCACUGCGGGCAGUAAUGGAAGAGCUCCUGGCCGUUGUUCGACGCCUGCGUCUCCCUUGCGUUCUCACGCACGUCCGUGCACGUGCGUCAAAACCAUGCAGCAAUGGAGCGCCAUUUGCCGUGGGCCAUUUGGAAGCUCUGGAGACGUUUUAAACGUUGGAGACGCCGACGGAGACAGCGGUGGCAGCCGGUGGCGGAAGUUGCUGUGCUUGGUCGUCCACCUAGACCUCCACCUAGACGUCGGCGGCCUCGCUUUGACCCACCUACUUCCCACGUUGAGGAAGUUGUCCCCCCCACCUCUGACAUUCAGGUACCUCACUUGGACUCACCCCCUUCUUACUGUGAGGUUCCACCAAGCUGGGGGGAAACACCACUUCCUCUUUACUGUGAGCUUUUUCCUUCUUCUUCUCCUCCACACUCUCCCCUUCCUUCUGGCUCUUUUGCUCCUUCUCUUUCUCCUCCAGGCUCUCCUGUUCCUUCUGGCUCUUUUGCUCCUUCUCUUUCUCCUCCAGGCUCUCCUGUUCCUUCUGGCUCUUUUGCACUUUCUCUUUCUCCUCCAGGCUCUCCCCUUCCUUCUGGCUCUUUUGCUCCUUCUCUUUCUCCUCCAGGCUCUCCCCUUCCUUCUGGCUCUUUUGCUCCUUCUCUUUCUCCUCCAGGCUCUCCCCUUCCUCCUUCUUCUUCUUCUUUUCCUUCCACACCCCCUCCUCCUUAUUCUCUUGUUCCUUCUUGCACUCCUGCUCCUUCGCUUUCUCCUCCAGGCUCUCCUGUUUCUUCUUCUUUUCCACCUUCACCUCCUCCUCCUUCCCCUCUGGUUCCACCUAUUGUGGCUCUUUCUGAGCUGCCCUGUGUUCCGGAUGCUGGCCUGUCCCUGUCUCCUGUUAUUCAGGACUCAGGCUCUGUAGUGCACGGGACCAGCGAGGACGGGACCAGCGAGGACGGGACCAGCGAGGACGGGACCAGCGAGGACGGGACCAGCGAGGACGGGACCAGCGAGGACGGGACCAGCGAGGACGGGACCAGCGAGGACGGGACCAGCGAGGACGUACCGGAUGGGGGGGACGAGGAGGCUCCAAGCAGCAGCACGUCACUAAGGAGAGCGAUAGGUCAGUUCAGUCACAGUGGCACCAGUGGCACCAGGGACACAUGUCAUCUCCCACGGAAGCUCCUCAGUGGCAGAGCAGGAUGGACUGCAGUGCCACGUGUUAUGGAGCGGACACAUGGCUGUGUGCUGUUCUAGUCAUGCUCCACACCACAGGGAGCAGUGCCACUGAUACUGAUGUACUGACCAGUGUGUCUGUCAGUCCAGUGGACAAAGUUUUCUAAGGAGAAGGGGAUGAGGGCACCAGGAGAUGAGGAGAAGGAGAUUAAGUUAAAACAAAAAGCGCACGCUGCAGAAGGUGACACCAUGGAAACGAGACAAGGAUCUGGACCAAGCUGGCCUAAGCUGUCAGAACGAUCGCAGGAACCACAGGUGCAGCUGUGGAGGCUGGAGAACUGUGGCAACUGAGACGACGAUAGGACCGCAUAGGGCGAUAGGAGACGUUAUCGCCCGUGUCUGUGGAGGCUCAAUGCUCUUCCUGCAGCUCUUUGCUCCCUCCAGCCUCCGGUCCAGACAGAGGGGAGCCUCCCAGUCCUAAGCACGUAGAGGAAGUGCCUUUGUCACUGCUUUCUCUGUGCUGCUGGGUUUGGGAGACUCUUCACAUAAUCAGCGGUGUUGGCCUCCAUCUCUAAAAAGAAGACGGUCAAGACGAGUCAUUGUCAUCAAUAAUUUGAAAGAAAUUGUAAUAAAUACGUUCCAUGUAAAACAUCA